rnacentral:rRNA from 1 species
UACGUAGGGUGCAAGCGUUGUCCGGAAUUAUUGGGCGUAAAGAGCUCGUAGGCGGUUCGUCGCGUCGGCUGUGAAAACCCGGAGCUCAACUCCGGGCCUGCAGUCGAUACGGGCGGACUUGAGUGUUGCAGGGGAGACUGGAAUUCCUGGUGUAGCGGUGAAAUGCGCAGAUAUCAGGAGGAACACCGGUGGCGAAGGCGGGUCUCUGGGCAACCACUGACGCUGAGGAGCGAAAGCGUGGGGAGCGAACAGG